CAGCCCCUUCCCCUCCAAUCCCUCCUCAAACACGUGAGGACAGGAGAGGAGAGCUGUCUGCAAUCAGACUUUGCGCUGGGCUUUGGCGUGGACAAUUGGCCGCAGGCACACACACCCCCGACGCCAGGCGAACCCCCGACGCCAGGCGAGCCCCCGCCCGCUCCCGGAACUGUCCUGCGGGUGACAGCUGGCACAUCCUCCUGCUGCCCCCCACCUGCUUUCAGAAAGCCCCUUCCGAAUGAACAGUCACCUUGCCACUGCUCCCUGCUUGGGCCUCAGCCCACGGCCAAGGAAACUUUCCUUUCCCAGGGCUCUCUUACAGGGCGCCUUCGUUCUCGAGAGGACACAGUGGCUAGCCUGUUCUCCAGCAGCUUCCUCUCCCCCCUCCCCCCGAGACCGCUCGCCGCCUGGCUCUCAAGCCGGGACUUGAAGGCUGGAGAAAGCGGGGUCCCUCCCUCCCUCACUCACCCUGCCCCAUUUCCCUCCGGAGCCCGCGAACUCGCAGCCGACUCCGUCGCCCGGGCGCCCAGAAGUGAGGACGCGCUCGGCGGCAUCGGAGCUAGCGAGGCAGCGAACCGAAGAGGAACGAGGCGGGAGAGUGCGCGCGGCGAGUCGGAAUUCCCUUCCCUCGGGGCUUCGGGAUCUGGGGGCCUGGCCGAGAGGCCCGACGGGAGGGACCCCGGGCGGAGCGUUCCCCUUCCCACCGCUAGGGCGUCACUGGAGGAAGCCUGGCGCGUCCCAGCUGGACAGGUGGGGACAGGGAAGGACACCUGGCUCAGCCGCGGAAAUGCAAAGGGAAACUCGCUGGACGGGGCCUGCAGCUUGCCUUGCCCUCCUCACAGCCUGACCUUAGGCAUCAGGACUUUUUUUUAACUUCUAUGGUUGCUAUUCUGGGUUUUUUUUGAAAAAAAAAAAAGCACACCUGUGACCGUGAUCUUUCUAACUGAAGGCAAGUUUCAACUUGCCCUGCCUUCUGGGAAUUUUUCUUUCUGUUUUAAAUUAAUAACAGCUGUGACAUGAAGGCUGGCCAUUAAUAUAUCUGAUGACAAUCUAUAAAUUAAGAAAUGAAUGGUAGAUUUUAUUCACCAUUUGGAAGUUUUACAGGAAUAAAGGACUCACGUAGACAGCUGUGUGCUCAUUUAUACCUUUCAGUUCCGAUCUGCAUGCCCUUUGAAAGAUUCUUUACACCUGACAAACAGGUAUAUUUGGUCUCUCAUACACUGUAUUCUAUGCGCCAAUUGUUUUAAGAUGUAAGCCACCAAGAUGGAUCCAAAAACUUACUUUCAGAAUAUGUCAAAUUUAGAAAUUAACUGGAAACUAUAAUUUAAAAAUAAAAUGUUUGAAAUGAGCUAUUGGAGAAACCAUCCAUGAAGAAGCAUCCUGAAGAGGACCUCUACUGUAGUAGUAACAUCAAGGAACAAAUCUGGGUUAAUCAAGGCUUCCUGAUAGUAUAGCACGCAAAGGUAUUAUAAUUAAAUUCGUAGGUAGUAAAAUUAAAGUGAUUUUUAGAAUCCAUGCUUGAUUAAAUACUCCUUUAGUUUUCUAAUCAUUAGAGCAAACAGCUAAAAUUAAGUAAAAUUCUGAAUAUCUGGUUCUAUUUCAUUUGUCUAUUAUGGGCAUACAUUAGUAUUUAUUCCCUCAGAGCAUUAUAUAGUCCUCUCAGUGAAUCCUUGCAUAUGAGAUGGAAAAAUGUGGCUUAUUUGGAUUACAAUAUCACAAAAAGUUGCUUAUAAAUAUUUUCACAAUAUUGAUCAAAGCAAGUCAUUUACCUCUGGAUUUUAGACUUUAGGCAAUAACUUAGGUUAAACAAUUUCAUGAAUCAUUUCUAUCUCUAAACGACCAGC
rnacentral:lncRNA from 1 species